rnacentral:lncRNA from 1 species
UCUUAGAAACAAAAGCUUUUUUUUUCUUAUCCUUCUUGGCCUUCUUUUCCCGCAAUUUCUUCAUAGUAUGAGGAUCGUUUCGAUGCUUUGAUUUAUUUUCAUUAAAAUCAUAAGAUUCGUAGUCAAAACUAUCGGAAAUGAAAUUUACAACUUCUUUAUAUUGUUUGCUAUUAUCUAAUUGAGAGACUCCAAGACUGAAAAACGGUUUCAAAUCUCUAUUCAUGAUGUUAAUUGAAAAAAAUUUAGACGAAAAACACCAAUAAUCAAAGAUUUUAUUAAAAAAAUAGCCGAAAAUCAGUUUGUAAAAAUCAGUGCAAAAAAAUUAUUUUUGUAGAAAUAUUGUUCAAAUAAGACUACAAUAAAUUGAAUAUAAUUUUUAGGGGGAAAAUUACCUUAAAUUAAAAGUUUGAAAUAGAGGAAGAAAAUGGUUGAAACCAUCGCUGAAAUAUUGGCGAAGAAUUGGGAAGAAAAAUGGUGUAAAAUUGGUAAAGUAGGUGGCCGAUAUUGAGGGAUUUAAACAUGUAUCUCAACUUUACCUAAAAGUGGUAAAUGUUGAGAUUUUUGUAAUAUUUUUAAAGUGGGAGAUUUUUAGAAGUUUUGUAAGUAAAGUUGUUCUAUUAGGUAAUUUUUUCAUAAAAUAAAGAAUUAAUUAUAUGAACAAAACAAAAAAAAUACUUAAUCUUUAAAAGACUUGUUUUAAGGAAAAAAUUGAAGGAGCCAAUUUAAUCCGUUUUAGACGAUAUAAAUUAGGUGAAGAAAUUAUGAGUUAAGUAAAAGAAAAGUAAGAUAAAAUAAAAUGACAACACUUUUAGGGGAUUUGUUUAGGUUAAUUGAUUAAAAUGUUAGUUAACACAAAUAAACAAUACAAGCUACAAAAAUAAACAAGAAUUGGAAUUGGGCCCUUAAUUGGCCCAUCAACAAAGCAGUCCAUUCUUUAUGGACUUUGGAUUAUGGACCUUGAGUCCAUUUUCUGAAGUGUAUACCAGAUGUAUAUCAGACGUAUUUCUCUGCGUUUUCCACGUAUAUACGCUGUAUAUCAGCAUAUAAAACCUCAUAUGCUUGUACCCAGCUUUAUAAUAUGUUAUAUAUUGUCUUAGGCCAGCCACCUUUGACCUGUAAAUCUCGUAUAUAUGUCAUAUAUCAGUGUAUACCAGCCUCUGGACAGAUUUUGAUGGACAUUUUUGACUUGAGUAAGGAUGAUUUUGGUCCCGAGGAAAUGCAGGGGCGAUGGAGUCCAGUUGGGACUCGCCAAGAGGCACAUAAAGAAGAGAGGAAAACAAAAAUUAGUAGCUAUUCAAGUGCUCUUAACACAUAACUUAAAAAAGGAGAAACACAUAUAACUAUUUACUAAUGAUGUGAUAAAUAAAGGAAAAACACACCAUAAAAAGGUAGUCAAAUUUAUUUGCUAAGUAAUUCAUAUGACAUGGAUGAAUCAACCAACUAAAAUACAACAACAACAAACCCAGUGUAUUCCCACUUAGUGGGGUCUGGGGGGGGUAAGAUGUACGCAGUCCAUACCUCUACCUCUGAUGAAGUAGAAAGGCUGUUUCCGAAAGACCCCCGGCUCAAGUCACGAGAUAUCACACAACACAUAGUACAGCACAGAAGCAGAUGACAUAACAUAGAUACGGCACCCAUAAGGAAUAUAAAACAGAGUAAAGCAGGAAUGCAGGAAUAUACAGCAAAGGAAAGCACACAUAUUCGUAAUAAACAUGGAACACGGAACACGGAACAUUGAAUACGGAAUCAUAACAGGAAUACACCCCCACCAAUUUAUUCCCUACACUAGCGACCCGAACUGGCCCUAAUCCUCUGCCGUAAUUCGCAUCUUCCAUACCUUCCUAUCUAGGGUCAUGUCCUCGGUGAGCUGAAUCAACCAACUAAAAUAGCUUUUAAAAAAAUGGUUGAAGCGUGAAGAAACAAAUAUUGAUGAAAAUUAAACUAUUAAGUCCAAGCUUUCCAUGAGAGAAACCAUAAAUAACUUAAGGCCAUAGUAUCAUUCAUGAGGUAAUUAAUCUUUUGGCAACUGGAAAGAUUACACAUUGUACAUGAAUCCAGAAUAAAACCUUGUUACAACACAAGAAACUAAUUGCAGUACAAUUUUCUUAAAUCUUUUUUCUUUUUACCAUUAAUGGCAUUUUUCCUCCACUUAGAGAUUCAAAAGGUAUAUUAUUUAUAACCUCUUUCCUUGGGUCACUGGACAAUGCACAAAUCACAAGUGCAGACUAAAGAGGGGUUGGAAUUAAUCAAAACAAAAUAAAGAGAAGCUUCGAAAAUUUGAUUCAUCAAGCACUGUUCUAUACUAUAUCCUUAUUUAACGCCAAAUAGAUGAUCAGCCUAACGAUUUAGCAUAGAAUCAGACUUUUACUUUCCAGGUAACUAAAACUUAAAUAACAUCAAGGACAGACCAUAAGUUGCACCUCAUACACCUCAUUUUGUAAGUAGAGCCAAAGAGACGUGUUAGGUAUUGGUCAAACGACAGCCAAACCAAGCAAGCAAGAGUAGAAGAGAGUCCAAUCAAGCUCCUUUAAUACUCAUGAGGAGUCCCUGUUAGCGAACUCUCCUAAAGAGGAAGAAAGAGAUUUAUGAAAAUUCCUCUUCCUCUCUUAAUUCACUCCUGGAAAGGAUAAGGAAAAAGAAAGAAAGAGAAAAAAACAAUUCAUUAUGGUUUCAUCCUCUCUGUAUUUGGCCUUUACAGGUCAAGAAGAUCCUUGAGGAGUCCUCAUCCCAACAAUACAAUGCCUGCUCCUCGACGCACUUAAGAUACCCAUCUGGUUUCAAACAACAACUUCUAUUGUCCAGUUUAACUACUAUUUACGGGCAAGAACUAUCAAGUCACAGAUUAAACACACCACAAAUUCAAUCAUACUCAGAAAACAUAAAUAAGUUCGUCUUAAAGCUUUCCAUGCGAACAACUGUAAUCCUUAAUCCUAGAAUCCUCACAAAAAGAAUAUACGAUCAUAUGUUCUAUGGAUACCUAACACCAACAAAUCCCUCAAUAACAACAAAUUUUCACAACCAGUUAUUGAGUUCAAGGUGUAUAUGAAUGGAAAAUGGAGGGAAAAUGGUGGGGAGAAGGGAGACACUAAUUUAGAAAGUGUACUCCUAAAUUAGAAAGUUCACUCAUUUAUUCCACAUUGGUGGGAGAAGAGAACUUGAAAGUGUUCAUAAUGAGAAACACUAACUCCACAUGGAUAGUGAGGCAAGAACUAGGUGAUGCCUCGCGCCGUCGUCGUCGCUCGCUCGGCUUAGGAUUUGGAUUUGGAAAAUGAUCGAUGAGAUCUAAUUUUUUAGACAAAAUUUAUUUGGAACUUGUUUACAUGCAAAAAAGGUUCCUUUCGGCUGAACCAAUGCUAAACCAAUGCAUCCUUUCUGAAAGGAUACACUUAAGGUUAUAAAUACCUAAUAUUUUCUUCAGGUAUGGUAAUUAGGGUUUCAUAUCGGUUGGUUCGGUUUGGUUUUAAAAAUUAUCGAUUUUACUUAUUCAUUAUCGGUUUGUAUAUAUAUUAAACCGUUAAAGAACCGUUAAGAUAUCGAUUAAUCGGUUAUCGAUUUUUCAGUUUUUCAUUGUUAUCGGUUCGGUUAUUGGGUUAACCAUUAACAUUAAACAUAUCUAAUUUGUCCAAAGCUAGUAAGCUACUGGCUACGACCCUACUGCUUAGUACUAUCUAUGACAUCUGAGGUUAACAUAUGUCAUGAAUAAAAAAGACAAAGGGUCACAGCAAUAAGCAAGUAACAAAGUUGUACAGAGCAUGCAUCACUGGUAGUUUGGGUUCACUACCAAGAAGUGUAAAUGACCAUUUCUUAAAUGUUUUUAUAUUUUAGUACUAUGCGAUCAAAACACUUGCCAAUGACAUCAUGACCCAGAAAAGAUAUCAGGUGACACUGUGAAAUUAAGAGUUUUAAGUGCAUCGGAUCAGAAACAAAGAUGAUGCAUGCAUUGAUGCAAAACAAAGCAAAAACAAAUUGAAAAAUCAGUUCAAAUUCCCGACUACAGUCAGUACACAGAUAGCAAGAGCACAGAAAAGAUCAUAUUUUACAUCAAGAACUGCUAAAUCCAAGCACCCCGUCAUCCCAAAAAUCAAACCCCGCAUCAGUAAUACUAAAAUCAGUUUAAAAAUCCAAAUACAAUCAAUAUACAUAUAGCAGAAACACAAAAAAGAUAAGAUUUUUACAUCAAGAAAUGCUAAAUUUAAGCAACCCUCCACCAAAAAAACAAACACCGCAUGAUUAAUAGUAAAUUCAGUUCAAAUCACAAAGUACAAUCAAUACACAUACAACAGAAGCACAAAAAGAUCACAUUUUCACAUCAAGAACUGCUAAAUUCAAGGACCAGUCUUCCUAAAAAACAAACCCCACAUCAUUAAUACUAAAAUCCGUCCAAAUCUCCGGAUGCAUUCAUCAGACCUAUAGCAGAAACACAAAAAAGACCAGAUUUUUACAUCAAGAACUACUAAAUUCAAGCAACCACACAUCAAUAAUACUAAAAUCAGUUCAAAUCAUCAAUACAAUCUAUACACGUACAGCAGAAAGACAAAAAACACAGUGAACUUGAAAUUAGAAUAUAUAGGCCGCCCUUGUGUGGAUCAAGCCAAACUUUGUAUAAGCAUAUAUUAUAGGUUAGAAAUUGGAUAGAAUUGAAGAUAAAGCAGAAGAAUUUUAGACUUCAAAUCUUUAAAGUAAGAUUGAGCAAUAAGAAGAGAAAAAAUUAUUACUUGUGAGCGCAACAACAAGAGCCGAGCAGCAAAUCAUCUUUGUCCAUCUUUAAUCUCUUUGAGUUUUCAGCAAAUGUUGAGUUGAAGCCUUGAAUAUCGACUUUUGGGUCUACUGAUAUUAUCAGUUUGUUGAGAGACAGAGAGAGUGAGAGGCGUAGUGAAAAUUCAAAAAUGAAAUAUGUAAUGAAUAAACCUAAGUCUCUAGAGUAAGUAAUGACGGUUGGCUACUGGGCUACGGAAAUAGGAUUUAAUUAGGAUGGGCGGUGGGUAAUAGACAUAGAAAUGAAAAUUAUAUAUGGGCCUCUAUUUGACUAUCAGGUUAUCGGGUGGCCCGAUAUAAAUUUUAAGAAAACCGCCACCUGAACUGAUAACCCGUUAAUGAGAAAUUUGAAACCGUCACGCGAACCGAUAAGUUUAAAAACCAAACCAUUAAACCGAUAAACAAAUUAUCAGUUUGGUUUAACGGUUUGAAUCGAAAUCUGCACAGUCCUAAUAGUAAUCAAUUUUGACAGCAAAAACUCUCUUGUUAUUAACAAAAACUAUGUGUGGUCAUUAAGCUGUUGAGUGAGUUCAUUGAAUUCAACAAUUUGAGGUACCGCUAUUGUUAGGAUUAAAGGCCAUUUUAUCCUGGGAGGAAGAUUCCAUAACCUCGGGUACAGUCAGGGAAAUUAUUCCUUAAGGACACUCCGUGAAGUCGGGGGACUUGGCCUUACAAAUUAUGUUUUAUCUUAUUUCUGAAAAUAAACAUACUUCUUGGACAGAUUAUCAAUAAUCUUGUGUUGAAGGUGUUAAAGAACUUCAUAGGUGUUCUUGUUUAUAUAGGAACUUGUGUUGAAGUUGGUGUUGCAUUUAUAUAGAUUCUUGUACCCGAAACGUCAUAAAAUAACAAUCUUAAGAAAUAAUCCUCAGAAUCUGUAUUGCUUGUUUUUGGAGAUUAAAGCUUUAAGCUUUCUACUCCGUUUGAAAUUAACUAGUGAGUAGAAGACAUAAAAUCUUCAUCACAAGUUAAAGAUCACUCGGUUGACAAUUGGAAGUCAUAAAAACUUCAUCGUUAACUAGAAACAAGAAGUAUUUAAAGUUACUUCAACUUUUUAAUAAAUAUUUUAAUAUACUAAAGGUAUUGUCUUAUGGUGACAAGAAAACUAACUAACGAAAGUCAAAUUCAAGAUGCGGCUACAAAUAUGGGGGAAACUAGUAUUGCCUCAACAAGUCGAGCAAAUGCUCCACAACCUAUGGCACCUGCGGAGAAGCUCAAAAAAUUUGCGGGCAUUGACUUCAAGAGAUGGCAGCAAAAGAUGUUCUUUUACCUCACCACUCUAUGUCUUCAAAGGUUCACUAGUGAGGAUGCUCCUGAGGUGCCUGGGGAAACCUCGGACAAAGAGCGUUUCAUAAUUGUAGAGGCUUGGAAACUCUCGGAUUUCCUUUGUAGGAAUUAUAUCUUGAGUUGUCUCCAAGACAACCUCUAUAAUGUUUAUAGUGGAACUAAGACAUCGAAGAAAUUGUGCGGGGAACUUGAAUGAAAAUACAAGAUAGAGGAUAUGGAAAUUAAGAAAUUCUUCAUUGCAAGGUUCCUAGAUUUUAAAAUGAUAGAUAGCAAAUCGAUUGUCUCUCAAGUGCAGGAAUUGCAAGUAAUCAUCCACGAUCUCCUAGCGGAAGAUAUAUCUUUGAAAAUUACCUUAGUUGAACAAAUUAAAAAUGUCUUUAUUACUCAUAUAAAAUUUUUGUAGGUUUAAUUGUGAAUGAUGCAUUUCAAGUAGCAUCGAUAAUUGAGAAGCUACCACCUAUGUGGAAAGACUUUAAAAACUACUUGAAGCACAAAUGCAAGGAGAUGACUAUCGAAGAUCUUAUUGUCCGACUACGUAUUGAAGAGGAUAAUAAAGUUGCCGAGAGAAGGUCAAAAGGCAAUUCUACAAUUAAUGAAGCACAUAUUGUAGAAGAUGACCAAAAUAAUUUUAAGAAAAGGAAGAACGUUGAACAUGAAAGCAAUCAACCCAAGAAGAAAUUCAAGAAAAAGCGCUUCAAUUGUGGCAAGAUUGGCCACAAGUCCACGGGUUAUCGUGCCCCUAAGAAAGGCAAGAAAAAGGACCAAGCAAAUAUAAUUAAGUCCAAUAAAGAAUGUGAUGAUCUAUGUGCUAUGCUUUCAAAAUGCAACUUGGUGGGGAAUCCUCGCGAAUGGUGGAUGGAUUCACGUGCCACCCGCCAUGUUUGUGCCAACAAAGAGUUGUUUUCGUCAUUCGCUUUGGCUCAAGUAGAAGAAACGAUCUAUAUGGCUGACUUCGCUACUGAUAAAGUAGAAGGAACUGGAAAAAUAUACUUGAAGAUGACUUCCGGCAAAGCAUUGACACUUAACAAUGUAUUGUAUGUUCCGGAGUUAAGGAAGAACUUUAUUUCAGUUUUACUUCUAGACAAGACGAAUUCAAAUGUGUUUUUAUUUCCAAAAAAAUUGUACUCAGUAAAGGCAAAGUGUAUGUAGGAAAAGGCUACCUCAAUGAGGGCCUAUUAAAAAUGAAUGUAAUGAAUGUUGAAAUCAAUAAAAGUUCAAUAUCUUUUUACUUGCUUGAGUCUUAUAAUGUGGCACGAACGUUUAGGCCAUGUUAAUUACAAAAUAUUUCGAAAACUGAUUAGCUUAGAAGUUUUGCCAAACUUUGAGUGCAAUAAAUCAAAAUGUCAAACGUGUGUGGAAUCAAAGUAUGCAAAACAUCCUUAUAAGUCCGUUGAAAGAAAUUCUAAUCCCUUAGACUUAAUACACACUGACAUUUGUGAUAUGAAGUCAACACCAUCACGUGGUGGAAAAAAGUAUUUUAUAACUUUUAUUGACGAUUGUACUAGAUACUGUUACAUCUACUUGCUAAACAAUAAGGAUGAAGCAAUAGAUGCGUUUAGGCAAUACAAAACUAAAGUUGAAAAUUAGUUAGAGAAAAAGAUCAACAUGAUAAGAAGUGAUAGGGGCGGAGAAUAUAAAUCUCUCUUUGCGCAAAUAUGUGUAGAGAAUCGAAUCAUCCAUCAAACUACAGCCCCAUAUUUACCUCAAUCUAAUGGAAUUGAGAAAAGGAAAAACUAAACAUUGAAGAAAAUGAUGAAUGCAUUACUUAUAAGUUUUGGUUUACCGCAAAACUUGUGGGGGGAGGCUAUCCUUACAGCUAAUCGUAUACUCAACAAAGUUCCCCAUAGUAAGACACAAUCAAUUUCUUAUGAAAAAUGGAAAAGAACGAAACCCAACUUGAAAUAUUUCAAAGUGUGGGAGUGUCUAGCGAAGGUCCAAGCUUCUAUGCCUAAAAGGGUUAAGAUAGGACCUAAGACGGUGGACUGCGUGUUCAUAGGAUAUGCUAAAAGUAGUAAAGCAUAUCGGUUUUUGGUUCAUAAAUCCAAACAUCCGGAUAUAAAUAAAAAUACAGUAAUUGAAUCAGAUAAUGCUGAAUUCUUUAAAAAUAUUUACCCGUAUAAAGAUAGACAUGAACAAUCUACUGAAAAAUCUAAACGACCUCGAAAUGAACUAAGUGAGAAUGUACAUAAUGAAGAGAAUCCAAGACGUAGUACACAUCAAAGAAUGUCAACUUCGGUUGGAUCAUAUUUUGUAACAUUUCUCUUAGAAAAUGAGCCUCAAACGUUUAAAGAAGCGAUGUCGUCGUUAGACUCAUCUUUUUGGAAAGAGGUAGUCAAUAGUGAGAUCGAUUCAAUCUUAAGCAACCAUACGUAGGAAUUGGUUGAUCUUCCUCUAGAAAAUAAAUCUUUAGGUUCUAAAUGGAUCUUCAAAAGAAAAAUGAAGGCGGAUGAUACUAUUGACAAAUACAAGGCAAAAUUUGUAGUAAAAGGCUUCAAACAAAAAGAAGGUCUUGAUUACUUUGAUACAUACUCGCCAGAAACAAGGAUAACAUCGAUUCAAAUGUUAAUUGCCUUGGCGGCGGUAUAUGGUCUUGAAAUCCAUCCAAUGGAUGUGAAAACCGCAUUCCUAAAUGGAGAAUUGAAAGAAGAAAUUUACAUGGAACAGCCUGAGGGUUUUAUAGUUCCAGGAAAGGAGAAUAAGGUGUGUAAACCUAUUAAGUCGCUAUAUGAACUAAAGUAAGCACCUAAACAAUGGCAUACUAAGUUUGACCAAAUCAUGUUGGCAAACGGGUUCAAGAUAAAUGAAUGUGAUAAAUGUGUUUAUAUUAAAGACACUCUGAAUCACCAAUUCAUUAUUUUUUUAUAUGUGGAUGAUAUGUUGAUCAUCAGUAGAGAUAUUUUUGACAUAAAUGCAACGAAACGAAUGCUUGAGAGCAAGUUUGAUAUGAAAGACCUUAGAGUUGCGGAUGUGAUCUUAGGUAUAAGAAUCCAUAAAAAUCCAUAAGGGUUGGCAUUGUCACAGUCUCAUUAUAUAAAAAAUGUACUUGACAAAUUUAAGUAUAUGGAAUUUGGUAUUGCCAAGACUUUGGAUGUGAGUUUUGCACUUCAAAAGAAUGAAGGUGAAAGUGACUCACAAUUGGAGUACGUAAGAGUAUUGGGAUGUUUAAUGUAUAUAAUGAACUGUACAUGACCAGACAUAGCAUGCGAUAUUGAGUCGAUAUACGAGUAAUCCCAACAAAACUCAUUGGAUAACAAUGAAAAGAAUUUUGGGGUAUCUUAAAUACACUCAAGACUAUGCUUUGCAUUAUAAUAAAUAUCCCGCGAUACUUGAAGGAUAUAGUGAUGCAAAUUAGAUCAAGGGAUUGAACGAAGUAAAAUCCACAAGUGAAUUUAUAUUUACUAUCGGUGGAGGAGCUGUCUCUUGGAAAUCAUCCAAACAGACAUGUAUUGCUCGCUCUACAAUGAAAUCUGAAUUUAUCGCAUUGGAUAAAGCCGAUGAAGAAGCAGAAUGGAUCCAAAAUUUCUUGAAAGAUAUUCCUUAUUGGCAUAAACCAGUGGCACCAGUAUGUAUACACUGUGAUAGCCAAGAGGCAAUAGGUAGGGCAGGGAGCAUAAUGUACAACGGUAAAUCUCGUCACAUAAGACGGAGACAUAAUAUCAUUAGAAAACUUCUCUCUAUUGGAAUUAUCACUGUUGACUAUGUAAAGUCGAAGAAUAAUGUGUUGGAUCCACUUACAAAAGGCCUAUCUAGAGAAGGAGUGGAAAGGACAUCCAAGGAAAUGGGUUUAAGGCCUAGGACAAGUUAGUAUGGCAAUAACUCUACCUAGCAAACUGGAGAUCCCAAGAGCUAGGUUCAAAGAGAUCAAACAAAGUUGUGUCUGACAGGUUUAACAUUGCCAAUUACCCAACUCAUUCUCAUGAUGUAGGCAAUGUGUAGUAAAUAAGGAUAAGAAUUAAAGUGAAAAAUCUUUUAAUGAUUAUCUAAAUUUGACAGAUUUGACCAAAUAAUUUAAUCUAUAGGAUUGAAUGUUUAGAAAUCACCUAUGUGAGGGCUAAGUGGAAGCCGCUUCAAAGAAAAUGUUAGUAAAGGCCUAUUCUCUAAGCUCUUAUGAAACCGAGACGUGUUUAUGGCUGAAAAGAACAAAAUCAUGAGAACCAUAAACAGUAAAAGGUUGGUUGUAUGACAUGUGUUGUCUAGGUGUACAUUAAAGAUGGGUGAUUUAAAGAUAUCAAAUCAACCGAUUAACCAAGUGCAUCCGAUGUAUGUUCACUAUGGAAAGUUCAAAGGGAAACCUACUUAUCCAGAUGCAAUUAGUCUUUGCUAAAUGAUCACAUGGUUGUCCGUAAAUUCUUCAAAAGGUAGUCAUUCCCCAUUCAUAUGGGGGAUUGUUGGGUUCAAGGUGUAUUUGAAUGGAAAAUAGAGGGAAAAUGGUGGGGAGAAAGGAGACACUAAUUAAGAAAGUGUACUCCCAAAUUAGAAAUUUCACUAAUUUCUCCCACAUUGGUGAGAGAAGAGAACUUGAAAGUGUUUAUAAUGAGAAACACUAACUCUACAUGGAUAGUGGGGCAAGGACAAGGUGAUUCCUCACAUCAUCGUUGUCAUCAUCGUCGUUCGCUCGGCUUCGACUUUAAAUUUGGAUUUGGAUUUGUCAAAUGAUCAAUCAAUGAGAUCUAAUUUUUUAGACAAAAUUUAUUUAGAACUUGUUUACAAGUGAAAUGUUAAUCCAAAAUCUGAUGGAAUUAAUUUUCUCCAAAUGUGGACACAUUUCAAGCGCAAUUCCAAUGCAUACACAACGCACAUCACAAAGGGAUGCGACCCUUCGAUAAAAGGCACACUGUUUUGCGUCGUAGGGUGAUAUGCGACUGCAGACACAAUGUAAGUCGAGACCUGUGGACGCAUUUCAAACGCAGAUGCACACUGGAAUGUGUAGAACUUUAUCUACAGCUGCAGUCCAGGCGCAUCUCUAGUGCAGUCCCAACGCAGGGACAUGACUAUUGCAAAAAAAAUGUCUUUCAGCUGAACCAAUGCAUCCUUUCUGAAAGGAUACACUUAAGGCUAUAAAUACCUGAUAUUUUCCUCAAGUAUGGUAAUCAAUUUUGACAUCAAAAACUCUCUUGUUAUUAACAAAAACUCUGUGUGAUCAUUAAGCUGCUGAGCGAGUUUGUUGAAUCCAACAAUUUGAGGUAUCGCUAUUGUUUGGAUUGAAGGCCAUUUUAUCCUGGGAGGAAGAUUCCAUAACCUCGGGUACAGUGAGGGGAAUUAUUCCUUAAGGACAUUCCGUGAAGUCGGGGGACUUGGCCUUACAGAUUCUGUUUCAUCUUAUUUUUGAAAAUAAACAUACUUCUUGGAUAGAUUAUCAGUAAUCUUAUGUUGAAGGUGUUAAAGAACUUCAUAGGUGUUCUUGUUUAUACAGGAACUUGUGUUGAAGUUGGUGUUACUUUUAUACAGAUUCUUGUACCCGAAACACCAUAAAAUAACACCAGUAACGAGGUUUCACAUCAUAACAAUUAAAUAACAAAAGAGAAGAUACGGAAGAACGAAUUGUUCUCCUUUGUCGGGGCAGCAAAAUUGGGAUUACGAACUCUCGUCGGAACGACUUCCACCGCAGUUUCAGUUUUCCAUAGGAAUUCAAAUGAUCUUGAUAGUUUUUUGCUAUGAACAAUUCUGCAAAUAGCUUGGUUACGUAGGGUUAGAGAUGCGCACCUCCAGAACUCUCAAAUUUUCUCCCAAGCUUCCUCUGAUAGUUAAAAUCUCUUACAAAUGGGGAUCCCUGCCAUCCAACUCCCCCUUUUAACAAUAGAGUGGGGAGGGUUUAUAUAAAACUCAAAAUUUCAAACUCUUUGAAUAAUCGUCGAUGUGGGAACAAGCAAAUUAAGGGUAAUUUUAGGAUUUUUCGUUGUGGAAUAAGGUUAUGAGCUGGAAUCGUACAAAUUUUGUAUGAAUUUGAGAUUCAAAUUUUUUCAAAAUUCAAACGGAUGCUGGAUGAAUUGGACGAGCGGGUCGGGUUUGGGUCAGUUCGUCGUUGUCGACGUUUGGUGUUGGUUUUAUCAUUGUUUUGUUGUGGUUGAUUUUUUGGUGCGUUGAAAUUAUUGCUGUUGUACAACGUUUUUGUUGAAGUUGGCUAUUAGAUAUUGAUGUUGUUACACUAUUACGGGUCGUUUGGUAGAGUGUAUUGGAAUAUUAAUGCAUGCAUUAGUUUAAUGUGUAUUAGUAGUACCUUGUUUGGUAUACCUUUUUACCUAUGUAUAACUAAUGCUAGAAUUAGUUAUUGUAAUACCCCGAGAUUCUAACCAAUAGUACAACCAUGACUCAAGCUCAUGAGAUAUAAAUUAUAGUCUUUUGGUUGUUUUCUGAUCAAGGGUGAUGUGUAUUAAGGCCUCAAAGAUGUCCUAGCGAUUAGGUGAAUCAAAACACUCCUUAUCGAUUGAAUUCUUGGGAAGAAUAUUGUCAUAGAUAAUCGAUACUAAUUUUGAAUUAGCUUUCCAACGAUACUAAUUUCACCAAAAUCCGGUAUUGGAUCAAAGAGUUAUACCCAUUUUACUCCAACAUGUCAGGCUGGAAAACUGAGUGACGACAUUCGUGAUAAGCUGUCACAAGCGUGACAACGUAUCACCAAUAUCGUCAGCCUUAGAUAGAUUUCCACCCUCAGUGACGACAUUUUGUGAUAAGUCGUCACGAGUGUGACGACUUAUCACCAAUUUCGUUAACCUUAACCAGAAAAUCAUAAAUCCCACCCUUUUGUGACGAUAUUUCGUGAUAACUUAUCACCAGUCUGACGACUUAUCACGAAUGUCGUCAGCUAUUUAUUUUAGCAAUUAAGGGAAGUUUUUGAAAGGGUAUUUUGGUCUUUUCCCAUCUUUUGGAAGCCUCUAUAAAUAUGAGAAUCCUCAUCCAAACCCUAAUUUCUCCAUUUUCUCUUCCAAUUCUCUUAAAAAUAUCUAGGGUUUCAAUCAAAAAUAUUAAUCUUCCAAAAAUCAUCCAUAAAUCUUCAAGAUUUCUUCAAGAACCAAGUUCCUCAUAGUAUAGGCUUCAAGAAUUAUUUAUUACAAGUGCGGAUAGAGUCUCAAGCACUAGAGUUCAUCCAAUUUCAAAGAUUAAGGUAUGUGGGGUUUGAACAAGAACACUUCUUUCGUUCUUGUGCCCAAAGAUUUAAUUUCUACUAUUGAAUUUCAUGAAUUUCCAAGUGGGAUUACACCCAAAUUACUUUAUUAAUGAUUUAUGAGAUUUGAGUUGUUCAAGUUUAAUAUACAAGAUUAUUUCAUCAUUUUAUUUCUUAAAUUGAGAACUUAUGCCAUGAGUUGAAUAUAGUUAUUAUGAAUUGAUGGUUUCCGAAUGAUUUGAGAUAAGUGUCAUGAUUUAAGCUUUUCUAUGAGAAGUUUGAUUUUUGAAUAUAUAUUGACAUUUGAGAUUGAGAGUCAACAAUGAGUUCUUUGAUGUUUUCUUAAAGUUUUUGACAUUUGAUAUGAGUUAAUGAGCAUGUACACUUGAUGUUGAGAAAGAUUGCUUGAGUUUGAGUCGAGUUAGGAAUCCACAAUUAUUUUGAUUUAAAGAUGAAAAAUAUUUAUAAUUUGGUCUCUAUGGUAGACCCUUGAGUUGAUUAAGGUGGAUUUCCUAACGCAUUCUGAGCUUAAGUCUGGGAGUAGUAUUUAGCACCAAGCGGGAAGUGUGGGUUUAGCGCAUCCUACUUCCCUAGAACUACGAGCCACCAUAGGAUUAAGAUUAAGGGUCAAAGGCCAAGACAGUGAUCACUAAAGUUAAGGUUCUACUCUGAUGGCAAGGAUAGAACAGCUCUCCCCAACGUGGGCAAGACGUUGGACUCCAUAUAAGCUCACAUGGCUUAUAUCGGUUAUAAAAAACUCCCAAGUCCAUAAUAGUCCAAGUUUCAAGAGUUACCGAGUCACUCUAAGUCACGAGUCAAAGAGUUUGAGUUGAAUCUAAUGGUUCAUGAGAUUUAAGAAGCACGUGUUAUUAUUGAUGAUUUAUGGAAACUAUGUUUCAGGUAAUUCAAGCGAAGAGAGUUAUUAGUGUCAGCAUGCAUGAUUUUCUUAUACAAUUAUGAUAUUAUUUAAAAUGUUGCCUGCACCCCCACAUACUUAGUACAUUCCCAAGUACUGAUUCACACACUCUUCUGUGUUCUAUACUCCCUCGUGAUGUAGGUUCAGGUGCUCAGUCUCAGCGGCGACAGUGAUUUUCGAGUACCUCCAUCUACAUUCCUGUAGUUGGUGAGUCCUCAUGGUUCGAGGACCUAUGUCCCUGACUUUUGAUUUUACUAGCAGAUGAUUACUUCUUUUUAGUUCAGUACGAGUCAGUUGGGGAUCUGUCCCAAUGGCUCCUCAGUCUUAUAUAGCAGAGGCUUGGUCAAACUAAAGUAAAGUGUCAGUAUGUACAGAAUUUCAGUAUUGUGAUUGUACAGGCUAGUUUUUUAUCUUAUUCCAGUAUGUUCAUGAUAUGUCAUUCUCUCUUAUUUUAGCAUGACUAUUGUCAAAGUGAGUUCUAGAAGUGAUGAUAGGCUUAGAGGGUUAGCUUGAGGUCGUGUGUGGCCUUAAGCACCGUGUGACAUCUCGGGAUGGGAUCUUGGGGCGUUACAGUUAUACACUCUAUUGUAUAUUAAGGUGUGUAUUACUAAUACCUCAAAAUCCAUGGCAUUAGUAAUGCAAUGGAUCUAAUGCAUGCAUUAACAUGCUUAAAGACCCUAUUACCCCUCAAAAAAUUUUCCGCAUCUUUUCCAACAUAUAUAUUGAGGGUAUUAUGUAAAAAAAAUUUAAAAAAUUAUGUAAUUCAUAUUUUUUUUAAUACAUCGAACCAAACACUGCAUAAGAAAAAUACAAGCAUAACUAAUACAAGCAUUACUAAUACACCAUAUUUUGCAUUAUUCUUAUACACUCUACCAAACGACCCCUUAAGGGGGAAAGGGGAAUGAGAGCUGGGUUACUUUUAUGUUUUAGCUAGGCUGGGUCGAGGCUGAUUGGGCGUGGGGAAAUGGGUCAGUUUCAGGUGGGCUGGGCAGUGUAUGGAUUGAAUAGGCUGAAGGCCAUUGGGCUUGGGUAAUGGUUUUUGGGGUUAAUUAUUGGGUUGUUGCUUAAGAAUUAAAAAAUGAAAUUGAGAUAAGUGUACUUGGGCUGGGGAUAUUGAGUAACAAAGGGAUUGAAUUUAAUAGCCAUUUUAUCUUACAAUUCAAUCAAUUGGAAAAAGUUGAGAUGAAAUUAACUUCUAAUUAAUUUAAUAAUUUUCUCAAAUUCAAUAAUUUUAGAAUAAAUCUUAAAUAAAAUACAAUUAUAUUUUAUUUCUUUUUUUUUCAAAAAUAAUAAUAUAGUAAUAAUAAAAAAAAUAAAAAUUAAGAAACUAAUUAUGUCGUCAAUUUCUUAUUUUCAAUCAAUCUUAAGGAAAGUAGAAUAUUUGCACUUUUUCAAUCAAAAUAAAUUCAAAACAAUUUCUUUAACUGAUAAUUAUAUGAUUUUAAACACAAAAUAUAUUAAUUUUACCAAAAUUCAAAAGGUAAGGUCAAAAUUUAUUUCAAAAUAACUAAAAAUAAAUAUUUUAAAACUAUUUAAAAUUUCGAAAUUCAAAAAACUAAUUUGGAAUGUGGAGGGCAAACAUUAGGUGUCAACAAUACUGAAUAGAAUUCCUAGCAAAGCAAUAACUAAAACUCUAUACGAGUUGUGGACUGGUAAGAAGCCUAGUAUUAGGCACUUGCAUGUAUGGGGAUGUCCAACCGAAGUAAGGGCUUAUAAGCUUAAUGAAAAGAAGAUGGAUUCAAGAACUGUUAGUUGCUAUUUUGUAGGUUACUCAGAAAGAUCAAGAGGUAUUAAGUUUUACGACUACUCGAAUAGAUCCCUUUUCGAGACAGGGAAUGCCAAAUUUAUUGAGGAUAUUGAUUAUAGUGGGAGUAAUCAAAACAAACAAAUUAUUUUUGAAGAGGAAUUUGAUCAUAUUGAUUCUAGUGAAAAUGACCAGAUUAUUUUACCAAAUGUGUUUCUACUUGAAACUUAGGAUUAUGAAGAAAACGUAACGAUAUUACCUCACGUUCAAUAACCUCAAGUUGAAGUGCCUAAAAAAAGAUAGCAGAGAAAGGAGAAAUGUAAUUUCAGAUGAUUAUGUUGUUUAUCUUCAAGAACAUGAUUUUGACAUGGGAUUGGAAGAUGAUCUAUAACCUUUAGUCAAUUGAAAUCUUAUCAAAGUUCUACUAAAUGAAUUGAAGCCAUGAAAGAUGAGUUAAAGUUUAUGAAAGAGAAUGACAUUUGGGAUCUUGUCGAGUUACCACAAGGAUCGAAAUCAAUUAAUUAUAAAUGAAUUUUUAAAAUCAAGCUUGAUUUAAAAGGUAACAUCAAAAUAUAUAAAGCAUGCCUAGUUGCUAAGGGAUUCACGCAAAAGGAAGACAUAGAUUUUAAAGAGACAUUUUCACCAGUUUCAUUAAAAGACUCCUUUAGAAUCAUUAUGGCACUUGUAGCUCAUUAUGAUUUAAAACGACAUUAAAUGGACGUAAAGACUGCAUUUCUCAAUGGAGACAUUGAAAAAAUAAUAUGUAGGGUGCAACCAGAAACCUUUGAGUCUCAAGAUUCAAAGCACCUUGCAUGUAAACUUAAUAAGUCCAUAUAUGGUUUAAAACAGGCAUCCCGUCAGUGGUACCGAAAGUUUGAUCAGGUGAUAACCUCUUUUGAUUUUAAGAAAAACACCGUUGAUCAGUGCAUAUAUCUCAAGUUCAAUGGGAGCAAAUUUGUUAUCCUUGUGCUAUAUAUAGAUGACAUUCUACUGGCAAGCAAUGAUGUAGAUUUAUUGCAUGAAAUUAAGAAAUUUCUGUCAAGUAAAUUUGAAAUGAAAAAUCUUGGUGAGACGGCCUUUGUUCUAGGUAUAGAAAUCUGUAGGGAUCGCACUAAUAACGUUCUUGAACGAUCGAAAAAGACUUAUUUUGAUAAGGUGCUAUGUAGAUUUGGCAUACAAAAUUGUGCACCAGGAGAUACGCUUGUGGCAAAGGGUGAUACAUUUAGUUUGCGCCAAUGUACAGAUUUGGACAUAGAGAAAAAGAGAUGGAUAAAAUUCUAUAUGCAUCAGCAGUGGAAAGUCUCAUGUAUGCACAAGUUUGUACGCAUCCAGAUAUUCCAUACAUAGUAGGAAUGUUGGGGCGAUAUUUAAGUAAUCAGAGAAUAGAUCAAUGAAAAACUGUAAACAGGUUAUGAGGUAUCUUCAAAUAACUAAAGAUUACAUGCUCACUUAUCAGAGGUCGGGUCAUUUAUAGAUCGUAUGGUAUUUAGAUUCAGAUUUUGCUGGAUGUCUUGAUAGUAGGAGAUCUACAUCAGGUUAUGUUUUCAUGAUGGCUAGAGGAGCUAUUUCUUGAAAAAGUGUGAAACAAACAUUAAUAGAUUCUUCUACAAUGGAAAUCAAAUUUGUGGCCUACUAUGAAGCAUCAAAUUAGGGAAUAUGACUAAGAAAUUUUAUCACUAGAAUACAAGUAGUCAGUGGCAAAGAAAGACCAUUGAAAAUUUAUUGUGAUAAUGAGUCUGCUGAGUUAUAUUCGAAGAACAAUCGAAGUUCGUCAAAGUCAAAACAUAUAGACAUUAAGUUUUUGGCUGUGAAAGAAAGGGUUCAGAGAAUUUUAUGUUGAUUAAGCAUACUAUUACAAACUUGAUGAUUACGGAUCCGCUCACGAAGGGUUAGCCACCUAAAGUAGUUUCAUGUGCAUGUGACUCAUUUGAGUGUUGUCAAAUUUGGUGAUGAGCCAUAUUAGUAUGAGUUUAUUAUUUUAUUUAUGCUAUUGAAAUGUUAAAGUUUAUUUUCUACACAGACUCAAGUUUAUGAAAUCUAUAAAUUUCGUGUGUUUAUAGAUAACUCUAUAAAAUAAAGAUAUUAACUUUCCAUUGCAGUUUUGUAUAAGGUAUAGAAAAGUGAUUUUGGACUAUUAAAGUCAUAAGGUAGGACCAUUUGGGAAUAGGCAUGACUUAGAUCAUUUUACAUGUAAUUUUCUUAUCUAAUCAUUGUCAUUGCUAUUGUUGAUUGUUGUGACCGUUGAUGGAUUUAGUUUCGAAUAGAUGUUACUUGUCACACCCCCUUUUUAACAAAAAAGAUUGAUUUUAAGUUUAAAAGAGUUUUUAUUAUUAAGUGACAAAAGAUUAAAAAAAAAUUCGAAAAAAGACUUUUUAUGAUUAAACUGAGAGUCGCCACUUGUUGUCGCGCCCUAUUUCGAACCGUUCGAAACAGCAUACAACAUGUGGUGGGAUUUCGUGACUCUUGGAUUUUGAAAAUUUAUUUUUUAGAAUCGUCACCUAACUUUUAGGAAAAUUAGGAGAAAACCAUCUUUAUGUAGAAAACUCUGUUUUGGUCUUUCGAAAACAUUCAGAGAUUCUAAGAGUUUUAGUUACUCGAGGAAUAGGUAUUAGGCACCCCUCGGAGUCUAUCCGAAGAUAGUCCUUACACUUAGUUUAGGAAAAAUCAUUGAUUUUAUUUAUUUGCGAAAAUAAUGGUAAGUACAUAUAUGUUUAUCAAAUUUAAAAAAAAAAAACACAAGGUACAUAAACAUAUUCUUGUGAUAUAUGAAAAGUAACAUAAUUUAUUACCAAAAUAACACACAUAUUUUUUAUAUAAAAGAAACAUGAAAGUGAAGCGAAAAAUUUAGCAUUAGCAUUUUUCAUGUACCAAAACUUAAAGUUUUAAAAUUUAUACAGUUUCAUGAUGUAUAAGUGUGUAAAAAAAAUUAUGUGAUAAAAGAGAAUAUCGUUAAGAAAUAUGUAAAUAUUAUUUAUUUAUGAAUUAUCAUGUACAUAUGAAAAAUUAUUUAUUUCGAAAACAAGUGUAUGCAAAGUGCGUUUCUCAAAAAAGGGUAAAAGUAUAUAAAAUAUUGGAAUACAUUAAUGCAUUAAUUUUGAGUAGAUAAAGACUUACACACUAAGAGGGAUCGCACAAUUAUUCAUUUAUUUGUAAGUAUUCAUUUAUUUGUAAGUGUAUUUUAAAAGGGGUAGUUAAGAAUGGACAAAAAUAGUAGUAGAAACAAUAUUUUGCAUAAGAGUAUGUCUACAUGUACCUUGUGUCUUAAUCCCGUUUGGAUUUUUACUAAAGAAAAAUAUAUCUAGGGAUAGUGUAAAAAGGGUGAAUAAAAAAGUGAUAAAAUAUUCAUAUCAUUUAAUUUACUCAAGUGAGUCGGAAUUGAUAAGUGGUUUCAUAGAAACACAAGUAUGAAUUAUUUGUACGAUCAUAUCAAAAACUUCUCUUUUGUUUUAAAAAAAAGUGUUGGGGUUGCGACCUUAUUUAUUUUAUACAAUAUGAGGACAACCAUUAAUUAUUUUGAGUUACUAAAAUCCUUUUUAUUUAAGAAAAUCCAUUUGUCUAAUCAUGUGGUGAUUGCCAAAAGGGUUAUGAUGUUAUCUUAUUCGGUAUUCCGAAGGAAACCCACAAAUUAUAAAGCAAUAUAAACGAAGCAAAGCAAUAAAGCUUCAAUAACUAAUUAUCGUCUCAAGUUUUAACCCAAAUAACAACAUAGUAUUAUACUAAAUAAAGAGAAGGAACUAAGCAAUACUAGACUCCUAACGAGCUUGAGUUUUCAUGUAUAUGCAAUCCCCAAGCUCUGGGAUCCUAUUAGAGAUUGACCCGAUAGUUGAAUCAAAAUAAAUUCCAUUGCGAAACUCCAACUACCGAGUUCACAUAUAAAAAUAAAAGGAUAAGAAUUAGUAACUAAUCAGAUAAAGAUGCAUAUGAAAAAUGAAAGGAGAUCAUGCUUUGAAUAAAGGACUUUAUUAAAUAGCACCUCGGGAACCAAAUGCAAGCUCAGCUCAUGAUUUCAUGAGCCAAGCAAAAUUAAAAAACACUUAGAAAGGCGAAACUAGGAUAUUUAACCCCUUUCUGGAUGCGGAAUUAACAAACAAAACACACAACAACCACACCUAAAUUUUGAGCCAGAAACUUACCCAAAAUGCUACAAAAGAUGCUCACAAACCAACCAUAACAUAUGGAAGGACAGAGUGACACAAAUUAACAAAUAUCAUGUGAUUAAAUUGAGAGAAAUAUCACGCACUUGUAAAAUAAAUAAUGAACAUAGGCUCCUAUGAUCGCAUUAAAAUUCCUGCAACGGUCCAGACUCCGAAUUCUAAGGGAGACUUUGACCACCAAAACCAAAAUACACAAAUGAUGACCAAGCUUUUCUUUGCAUUCAUUAACCUGGGCUAGACCAACCUACCAAAACUAUAGUCUUUUAAGUCAUAAGUGAGCACACAUAUAUAUAUGGAUUUAUGGGACUGUGCUAAUCAUGAUGAAUACUUGCCAAUCCAUCGCAACCUUUGAUGGUAUUAUACAUGUAUAAUGGCAAAUCAAUUCAAAUAUUUCUCAACUUUCUCACAUAAAAAAUGCAAAAAUGACUGCCUAAAACAUUGUCGUUCAAUAUAUCCAAAGACAAUGUGAACAUAUCUCAGAAUUAACGAGAGACUUUAGAAAAAAACGAUGUUCUAUAACUUAAUUUGCAAAAAAAAAAAAAAAAAACACAGCCAUGUUGAACAAGAUGAGCGAUUAUAUUCAGGAAGCCAGAAUAGGUGAGGGAUAAAUGAGUAAAAAAGAAACAAAGACGAACUUAUGCAAUAGAUUAAGCACAAUUCUACCUUCUCUAUUUAAGUUUGAAACCUUUCGAGAUAUGUCCAUAACUCCCCAAACUAUAUGUUUUUUUUUACAUAAUAAAACAUAGCAGCCCCCUAAAAUCUUUAACUUGAAGCGAAAUAAAUCUCAUUCACUUAUCCUUAUUGCACCUUUGAGCGGGGAAAGACAAAAUAGAAAAGAAAAUUUUCAAAUCGUGACAUGUUUGGAUGCAAAACAAGCACAUGACGAGAUUAAAUGAAAUGAUGCUUUAACCUUCUUUAAAGUAAAAGAAACAAAGACUGAAUUCCCGUUAUGGAUACACAAGUAGUAAUAAAACAAGAGCAUGAUCAAAUCAUUCCAUAAUAACUUUGAAUAUAAAAAACAUGAGAGUAUAAUCUAUGGCUAAACUCGUCACUGUCAAAAUUUCUAGGCGAAUUCAAAAAUUAGGUGGGAAAGACACUUUAAGACGAGAUUUGCAAAAAUAAAAUGACUAGUAAUGCUAAAGAGGAGAUGCGUCACACAUUUCAAACGCUUAGAUACAAAAUGACACUGAAUGAAGAAAAAUCAUCCUCCGACUUGAUUUCACUGAAAAAACAACAAUACCAACACGGACUCAAAGCCCGGACAAACUUUUUUUCAACAACAACCAUAUCAAUUUGAUCGGAAUACAUACAACCGACCCAGGCUCGCAAGCGAAUCCGCUUAUGCAAGAAUGGCAGCAACGACAUGAAUUUGACCAAACUAAACGAUACACAUGAAAUUUGCAAACUAGUUGAUUUACGUCCUUAAUUUUCGAAGGAGAACAUAGCAACCGCACCUUCCUUCGCCAUAACAAAUUAAUACGUAACAAAACAGCCACGAAACCAUCACAUUAACACAACAUCGGAACCACUUAGCCUCCAAUUCCAAUUUCCAGAAAACAAAUUUCCCAACUAAGUUUUCCCACUUUCCUUUAUUAUUUGUUUUUCUUAAGAAAAAACUGUUCUGCCUACAUGAAUACACCACAGAGUAAACUUCUACAUACUUACAAGCUUGUGUAUUCAUGUGCGAGACAAUUUUCGAAAUCGAAAAUUAUAUUCAUUCGUGAAUCUAAAAGAAGACAACAUCAACGAUAUGGAUUCCAAAAUAAAACCGCACACCAAUGGGACGAAAAUAGAUGGACUAGUAACUAAAAUUAGACGAGGGAGGGAAGUUCGCACCUUACGUUGUGCAGCAAAUCAUAGCUUUUCGUCAAGUAUUCCGGCCACUCAGACUCGAGUUGCAAAAUCAACAGAAAAAAUCAAUGAUUCUAGUAACUUCGUUGGUGGAUUUCUAGAUUUCAAAAACUAAUUUUUCCUUCUUUUUUUUUCAACUUUUGGACCCGUUUUCACUUUCUUUUUUUAUUUCUCCUCUUUUUCUCUCUUGCUUCUUGCUUUUCUCCCCUUUUCCAAACUUCACUGGUUUUUCCUUACUUUCUCACAAUUUUUUUCUUAAUUCUUUUCUUCUCCUCUGCUUUAUCUUCCUUGUCCUCAAAGGGGUGGAAAUCCGGCUAUUUAUAGCCAAAAUCCGGACUUUAAAGUCCGGAUUUGAGACAACAAAUAAGUAAACCGCGGGAGAAACAGAGAAUUUGAAUUUUUGAAUUCAAAUCUCUAAAGCAAAUCCAUCGAUUUCAACCUUUUCAGGCGACUUGUGGCGGAUUUGACGUUAAUGACGAGUUGUUACAUCAUUUCGGGUCCAAUUUUCCUGAGUUUAGCGGGUUUCGCAGGUCUGGAAUGACAAGAUGGGAUUAGUUCGCGUAGGGUGAAAGCCAUGGCUGCCUAUGGCUGCCAUUUUUGUCGAUGAAGAAGGGAAAAGAGAAGAAAGAAAGUCCAUGGCUGUUUGUAUCGUUGUUUUGAGAAAGAGAAAUGGGUCAACGUAUGGGGGAAUGCGUGUAUUGGGGAGUGUGGAAAAGCCAUAUAAUGGGUUGUUUAUGUUGAUUAUAAUUUG